rnacentral:lncRNA from 1 species
GAGUGCUGCUCUGGGGUGCUUUUCAAAAUCCAUGCGUCUCAUGAAUUAUGCUGCCAGAUCUAGGAGGAGCCAGUCCUCUUUGGAACUAGGUGAACUGGGCUAAUCAGAAACAGGCCCAUCUCAUCCGCCAGCCAGUUUGCUCCAGGGCCAGAGGAAAGCCAGGGCCUCUGGCUCCCACAUCCCAUGUGGCAACCAACCAUCAGGUUAUGCUUGGCUUUGCAACGAUCAGGAAAGGCCUCACGUCUGCCUAACUGCAAAACAAUUUGGUUGGCUUAUAAAUUGCUGCCUCUAUCAUGUGCUUCUGAAUUAAAAGGAACGGAUGGUUUUUAAAGGUUUAUCUGUUUCAUUAUUAAUGCGGAAUGACCUCCUGCUGACAAAUUUCGAUUUUCACACGGUUUCUUUGCUGAUGCAGUAUCUCUGCCACCCAUGCUCUAGGGCAGCGUGGAGCCACUUCAGAGCGUGCCUUUUGUGACCCAGCGCCCAGCAGGGUGUUCUUUUCUGAGUGCAAAGAGAGAAUCCACUGACCUCAUUUGCUUCCAUCCUGUGAACCUCUCAGUGGGUUUCAGAACACCCGGGUCUGAACAGAGAAGCUUCAGAAUACUUUGUCCGACUAGAGAACUUUUUUAUGGUGGGAGGAAAAAAUGUUGCCAGUCCCACUUCCCAGACACCUGGAAUUCAUGAAGUCUGAGGACUUCUUUCAUUUUACUUUCAACUAAAAGCUCUAGCACGAAACAGCAAAGGCUCACAGAACUAAAGAUCAGGAGGUGGCCCUGUGAGAGGGUAUUCGGCCUGGAUCCCUGGUGAAACUCCAUCACUGAGCAGGUCUGUGAUCGCCCUUGUGGUCUGCUUUCUGUAGAUAAUACUCAUAGACUAUGCUGCAUAAAUUCUCAGAUUAUUCAAAGAUGAACAAACAGUUCAAAUGGGCAGUUUUAUGUGUUUCACUCUCAACCCUUUCCUUUUUUCAGUAUGUCUCCCUCCUUUUUUCCUCUCAAGCAUAUCUACUUCAGAAAGCGUGGAAAGAAAAGAGCCUGGUGGGAAAAGUCUAUCAAGUGAUAAUGACGUGCCCUUAUGGAAAAAAUUCUGGGUUCAGAAACAAUAGAGAUACCAAACAAGAUAAGACUAAGCCACAGAGAUAUCUGAAAAGCUGCCAUCAAUCAAAGCUCUUUGUGAAGCUGGUUAGUGCAGGUUCCAUUUUUCUAAGGAGCAGGCAAAAGGAACAAAUAAAAUCCAGCUGUUUCUUCAUUCUUGCACCAGGUGAGUCCCAGUAUCAAUACUUCAUUCAUUGUGGAUUAAGGGGAAAGUGGCCUUCAUUUCCUUUCUCAUUCCAUUUUGAAACCUCAGAUUUCUUUCUUUCUGCCAGUGAUACCCAGUUGUUGAGUCAUAGCCACCUGGGCUCUAGUUCUGGCAUUGCUUGCAAUGUCAUCAUGAGAACCUGAUAGAUGGUGUUAAUAGCAGAGUUUAGAC